GGAAAUUCUUUACCUGGCUGAUUCAUGACAAACUUGGUGGGAGAAGUAGCUGAUGGGGAAGGGACUCAGUCCUCGGGCUGGCCUUGAAGGAUGAGGACAAGAAUGCUGCAGUCGCCUGGCCCUGGGCAUCCUGCCCUGGCCUUGGAGAGGAGCUGCAUUCUGCAGAGCCAGAAGGAGGACAAGAGAGGCACCCUGCCCAAGCACCAGGCUGAGCCUCUGCAGUCCCUGCCCGGAGAAGACUUACAGCCGCCGGGAGCUUGGGAAGGUUACAGAGAAAAAGCCUCUUGCAGCACUUGGGAGGACACUGCCUGCAGCGCCCCGCCUGCCGUGGGCCUGCUCCAGGGCAUAUACCCAUCUGCUGUGUGGCUGGACCAUGUGGGUAAACUCUCCGGAGGCCUGCGUGAGCUAAGGGGGAUGCUCCAUCCCAUGCACAGUGGAGCCUGCCUCCAUGGGCCCUGCUGGCCUUCAUGGCACCACCUCUCCCAUAGACAUCAGAGCUCCGAUGCCAUCGCUUCCCCCCACAGACCCACUCGGUGGUGCCCAGCCAGGCUACCCUGCACAGCAUCCCACUCAUCUAUGCCAGAGUGAUGGCUGCUCAGCUAGCCACGAGAGGGUAGCACACCCUCUGCCCAUCAUGCAACACGUCUGAAGCCCACCUAGACCCCUUCAUCCCAUGGACACUACAUUAAGCACACGCACAAGCACCUGGGCUUCAGUGGGGGCUUAUUUGGCCUCCCCAGGAUGGACUGGAGCGUCAGUAGUGCCCGGGUUCAUCACAGGACAGAUACUCAAGACACUCUUAUCACCAUUAGGUGGACUUGGAGGAGCAAAAAACGGGCGCAGUGGCUCCUCAGCAGAGACACUCCUGAAUAUAUAGACAUGGGAACCACCUUCAGCGUCAAAAAAGGAAACAUUCUGCAUGCCCAUAUCCAGAAAAAUCCCCACUCGCUGUAACUUGCGGUCUACGAAGAGGAAAGUCAGCGGCACCGUGCUGGCAGAGAGGCGGCUUCCAUCCCUCAAACUCACAGUCCAGAAUCCACGCUCUGUGGUCAGAUGGAUCCUCCCUUUGCGGUGAACAGAUUCUCUGCAGACUCCCAGGUCCCAUUCUGCGCUUGUUCCCACAUCCACCUCCCAGUAGUGGCGGCCACAGGUAAAGCGAGGGGAGCCCAGGACACAAAUGGACACAUCAAAUCUCUCGUGUCUCCUUUUUCAUUUCUGAU
rnacentral:lncRNA from 1 species